rnacentral:tmRNA from 1 species
GGGGGCGAACUGGAUUCGACCGGGUAGCCUGAAGUGUAAGUGGCGUGUCGUGGUUGAUCAGUGGGCCACGUUAAAAGCUGAUCAAAUAUCUUAUUUGCCGAGGAAAACCUCGCAAUGGCCGCCUAGCAAAGGCGUCCCCGGCUGCGGGACUUCUCCGGAGAGUCCCAAAAGUCGGUAGCAAUUCCGGAUCGCUGCCAGUCAUGUCCAGCACGCUAGCGGCUAAACAAAGUUCUGGGAUAGUCCACGUGAGAUCGCGUCGAUUCGAGCUCAAGUGGGUGAACGACAAAUAGUCGACUACACACGUAGAAGCUUGCGCGGAAAUACCGCGGGACGCGGGUUCGAUUCCCGCCGCCUCCACUC